rnacentral:rRNA from 1 species
UACGUAGGGUGCAAGCGUUGUCCGGAAUUAUUGGGCGUAAAGAGCUCGUAGGCGGUUUGUCGCGUCUGCUGUGAAAUCCCGAGGCUCAACCUCGGGCCUGCAGUGGGUACGGGCAGACUAGAGUGCGGUAGGGGUGACUGGAAUUCCUGGUGUAGCGGUGGAAUGCGCAGAUAUCAGGAAGAACACCCGUGGCGAAGGCGGCUCUCUGGAACGCAACUGACGCUGAGACGCGAAAGCGUGGGGAGCAAACAGG